rnacentral:rRNA from 1 species
CAACGUAAAGAACCUAUCCUAUAGCGGGGGAUAGCCCUGGGAAACUGGGGGUAAUACCGCAUAAGCCAGAGGUAGCGCAUGCUAUGUUUGGGAAAGGCAGAUGAAAGUCUGUCACUAAAGGAGGGCUUUGCGGCCUAUCAGGUAGUUGGUGGGGUAACGGCCUACCAAGCCAAAGACGGGUAGCUGGUCUGAGAGGAUGGUCAGCCACACUGGGACUGAGAUACGGCCCAG